UACGUAGGGGGCAAGCGUUGUCCGGAUUUAUUGGGCGUAAAGAGCGUGUAGGCGGCCAAGCAGGUCCGCUGUGAAAACUCGAGGCUCAACCUCGAGACGUCGGUGGAAACCGUUUGGCUAGAGUCCGGAAGAGGAGAGUGGAAUUCCCGGUGUAGCGGUGAAAUGCGCAGAUAUCAGGAGGAACACCGGUGGUGUAGACGGCUUUCUGGACCGUAACUGACGCUGAGACACGAAAGCGUGGGUAGCAAACAGG
rnacentral:rRNA from 1 species